GUAAUGUUCCUUAGUGCCGAAUACUAGUAGGAUGACUUGUCAUAGCGGUAUGGUUGUGUUUCCUGGUACAAUCCUGUAAAAGGGGGAGUCUGUUAGAGUGAGCAUGUCCAUGAUGUCAAGACACAUUUUUCUUAGUGUUUUGGCAAAAAUGAUGUUGAGUCCACUUUUGUUAGUGUUGAACCUGCAACAACAGGGUCGAGUACUAGGGGAUUUCGGCCUGGUUCUAAGAAACUUGUCCAUUGGUCCCUUCUACUGAAGGUUAUGGGUACCUCAGACCAUUUUAGUGGUGUUGGAUCUAUUGGUUCGAUUGCCAUAAUUUC
rnacentral:lncRNA from 1 species